rnacentral:rRNA from 1 species
AGCUCCAAUAGCGUAUAUUAAAGUUGUUGCAGUUAAAAAGCUCGUAGUUGGAUUUCUGGCAGGAGCGACCGGUCGCACGCUAUGCGUGUGAACUUGUGUUGUCUCUGGCCAUCCUUGGGGAGAUCCCGUUUGGCAUUAAGUUGUCGGGCGGGGGAUACCCAUCGUUUACUGUGAAAAAAUUAGAGUGUUUAAAGCAGGCUUAUGCCGUUGAAUAUAUUAGCAUGGAAUAAUAAGAUAGGACUUUGGAACUAUUUUGUUGGUUUGCGUUACAAAGUAAUGAUUAAUAGGGACAGUUGGGGGUAUUCGUAUUUCGUUGUCAGAGGUGAAAUUCUUGGAUUUCCGAAAGACGAACUACUGCGAAAGCAUUYACCAAGGAUGUUUUCAUUA